UACGGAGGGGCGAGCGUUGUUCGGAAUCACUGGGUGUAAAGGGUGCGUAGGCGGUGCGUUAAGUCUGAUGUGAAGCCCUGGGCUCAACUCAGGAAUUGCAUUGGAAACUGGCGUGCUGGAGUACGGGAGAGGGAAGCGGAAUUCCUGGUGUAGCGGUGAAAUGCGUAGAUACCAGGAGGAACACCGGUGGCGAAGGCGGUUUCCUGGACCGGCAUUGACGCUGAGGCGCGAAAGGCUAGG
rnacentral:rRNA from 1 species